rnacentral:rRNA from 1 species
UACGUAGGGUGCAAGCGUUGUCCGGAAUUAUUGGGCGUAAAGAGCGUGUAGGCGGCCAGGUAGGUCUGCUGUGAAAAACUCGAGGCUCAACCUCGAGACGUCGGCGGAAACCAUCUGGCUAGAGUCCGGAAGAGGAGAGGUGGAAUUCCCGGUGUAGCGGUGAAAUGCGCAGAUAUCGGGAAGAACACCCGUGGCGAAGGCGGCUCUCGUGGGACGGUACUGACGCUGAGACGCGAAAGCGUGGGGAGCGAACGAGG